rnacentral:misc_RNA from 1 species
GAUGAAGAACGCAGCGAAAUGCGAUAAGUAAUGUGAAUUGCAGAAUUCAGUGAAUCAUCGAGUCUUUGAACGCACAUUGCGCCCCCUGGUAUUCCGGGGGGCAUGCCUGUCCGAGCGUCAUUGCUGCCCUCAAGCACGGCUUGUGUGUUGGGCUCCGCCCCCCUCCCGGGGGGCGGGCCCGAAAGGCAGCGGCGGCACCGCGUCCGGUCCUCGAGCGUAUGGGGCUUUGUCACCCGCUCUGUAGGCCCGGCCGGCGCCCGCCGGCGACCCCAAUCAAUCUUUCCAGGUUGACCUCGGAUCAGGUAGGGAUACCCGCUGAACUUAAGCAUUCAAUAAGCGGAGGA